UACCCAUUUCAGAAAAAUGUUUGUAUGUAAUUGAAAUGAAAAGAAGAAAAUCAAAAGGGAGAGAGCGAGCGGAAUAAGAAUCCAAUGGAUUUUCAAUGCUAUUCUUUGAUGAUGAUUGAAAAUUGCAGUGUGAAUUUGUGAGCUGAGAAUUUUGAUUGUGUGGUGAAAGCCAGGGAGAUUUUGUUUGUGAGAAAUGAAAA
rnacentral:lncRNA from 1 species